CGUGAAUCACGCGCGCUGAUUCUGCCCCCAUCCCCUUCUCUCCUCUCUGAAUCCGCUCGCGAUUCCAAAUAACUCGCGCGCUGAUCCGCUCGUUCCGCUCCUCCCUCCCCGUCCGCCACCCACGUGCCGCGCUCGGGCCCGACGAACACCCCCUGCCCCUCGAUCCGGCCGCCGCGGAAAUCCCCCUCGAACGUGGCCCCCGACGGCCACGAGAACCGGUCCUUCCCGGACGCCUUCCCGCGCCGCCAUUACUUUUUUGCUCCGACUCCGUGCCGGUGGUCCGCCAUCUAUGACGAAUGCGGUCGGGCCCGACGAACGCCCCUGCCCCUCGAUCCGGCCGCCGCGGAACUCCCCCUCGAACGUCUUGGGCGGCGUUCGUGUGCGCGGCUCCCUCAUCGCUGUUGUUCGUGCGGCAGGGGUGUGGACAGGAGGUAGUGCAGCGGCGCGAGGAAAGGGCUGAACCAAAACGCCUGAGGUGCAGAUUAGAGGAGGAAAAAUCCAUCUUGUAUCUCGAUCUUGCACUAGGUAAUGUAUAAAAUUGUUUCUCCAACUGAUUAUCCAUUGAAGAUUGGUUUUAGGUUGGGUAAUUAGGCCUAAUCUCACCGGACAUCACGCUGCUCGCGGGGGGUUUCUGCUACAACAUUUCAGCCCGUGCAAUAUUGAUCGAAUAGAAGUUUAGGGUUCCUUAAGUGCUGAAUCUCAUAAUGCAAUGUACUAGAGAGUUAUAGAUAAUUUCAUUACCUUUCUACAGAGUAUUAUUUCACGGGAUUUGAAUGAACAGAUCUGGAUUUAUGAUUUUUUUAAUUCAGUCUGUUUGCAGAGUAGCAGGAAAACUGCGCGAUUAUUUCGUAUCUCAGUUUAACCAUAGUAAACCCAUCUUGUGAUCUGGAUCUUGCACUAGGUAAUGUAUAAAAUUGUCUCUCCAAUUGAUUAUCCGUUGAAGAUUGGUUUUAGGUUGAGUAAUUAGGCCUAAUCUCAUCGGACAUCACGCUGCUCGCGGGGGGUUUCUGCUACAAUAUUUCAGCCCAUGCAAUGUUGAUCGAAUCGAAGUUUAGGGUUCCUUAAGUGCUGAAUCUCAUAAUGCAAUGUACUAGAGAGUUGUAGAUAAUUUCAUUACCUUUCCAUAGAGUAUUAUUUCACGGGAUUUGGAUGAACAGAUCUGGUUUUAUGAUUUUUUUAAUUCAGUUUGUUUCCAUAGAGAAUUAUUGCUUUGUAACUUUUAUCUCAUCAGAGUCCCAUAAUCAAGAGUAGGAUCUAAAGCUACGAACAACGCUCUUGCUCCUUCCGCUAAACGGUAGGCGACACCCUCUAUGCUCUUCUUCUACCUUGCUGAACUAAUGUUCUUGCAAUUAUGCUGUAAUCCCUCUACUUCGGAUUACAAAGCAGAGAUGAUAAUGUAUCAUUGCUGAAUUGCUUGUACAAUAGAGAUGAAAAGGUAUUCAUUUCUGGUGGCCAAAAUAUCUGUUGGCCCUUACACUUUGCUGAUUGUACUAUGGUUGAAAUCUGUUUUGAAUUUUGUAUCUGUAGUCACUGGUCCCUUGUGAACUUUUCAAAUUACCGAACUACCUUUUCUCUCAUGAAUGAUUGUAUUCAGGGCAAUCUGCAGCAUGAGUUCACUGGUAGCAAUUGUGUGCCCCUGGAAUGUCAUGGAGUAAGGCGGGAGCUGAUGGGACUUCUCAGAUACAUGAGGCUCUGCAUGUUCUUCUCAAAGAAGCCAUAUGAAGUGUUUCUAGCGUUUGGUGUGUAUGGCCAUAGUGAUAUUCUCAUAAGGAAGUCUAAGGCAAGGGGUGCGACCAGCGCUAAGGAUCGUCUGACAGCAGCAGCUGCUGCAGAGUUUCCAUUCCAUCAUUCAGUGUUACAAGAAGGUCGUAAAUCCAACUUGGUGGUUGGACAUGUGCAUCGUGGAAUGGUUGCAACAACUCGUUGGAUUGCAGAUCAGACCAUUCCCUGCCUCAGCAAAGCCGUCGAGCAAUUCCCAGAUUACAAAAUUAAGAUUUUAAGUACAUUGCAAUGGGAGUUAUACUAGAAAAUCAAUGGGAGUUAUCGUGAAAGCAGACUCUGGAAAGAAUGCGCUGGUUGUCAAGAACCAAGGAUGAUGUAUGGAAACAUUGCCAAUCAUGAAGCAUUUUUGCGGAGGAAGCUCGAAGAGCAGCAGCAGGCAGCCGAGCUGCAGCAAGCCAUCAAGUUGCGGGGACGCCUGUUCAUGAGGCUGUAGCUUCUCGACCUCAAGAGCAGGGUUCAUCAUCUCAGCUCCCCUGUUGGUUCACCCAUGUCUCUGGGAUA